AACCGUCCUCUCCCUCUUACGACGCCGAGCAGCGCCGAAGCCUCCUUCUCCUCCCCAACCGACGCUCCGAACCCGUUUUCCUUUCUCUGCGCGAAACCAAUCACCGCCGCUCGCCACCCAUUGUCAUCACCGGCAGAGCUUCCCUUCUCCCGUCGCCGCCGAUCCUCGCCUCACGAGCGCUGCCCUCCUACCCCGAUUCACCGCCGCCCGAUUGACGACGGGCUCAAGCACCAACACGGAUCUAUCAUCAUCUCCUUUGUGUUGUGCCCCAUUCCAGCAUGACCAGCCUCCCGAUCCUGACAUUGCUGCUGUGCUGACGCAGAUCCACCCAACACCGUGCCUAGCCUUCAUAGUUUUUCCCCUUUCUUCCACUCUCGCUCAAACCGUCGCCAAAUGUCUAUGGUGUAGCCAACAUCGAUGCUCUAAAUCCUUUGCUUUUGUUCCCGUAAUCAAACAUAUCAAGGGUGUUGAUUUGAAGGUUCUAGUGGAUUCUCUUGCCAACUCUACUGCUAAGGCACAAAAGCGCAUCCUAGAUCACAAGCACUAAAAAGAAGAGGCCCUUAACAUUCGUGUAAUUAAAGGCAAUGAAGCCAGGGAAGUUGAGAAGGAAUUGCUCUAUAAGAUCGAGGAACUAGAGAAGUAAAGAAACCAGCUGGAUGUUGAACUAAUGAAGGUUAAUACAUCUCUGGCAGCUGUGACUGCAAGGUUUAAGAAAAUCAGAGAAGAGAGGGAUUAGUUUGAUGAAGCAAACAGCCGGAUUGUCCUUAACCUGAAAGCCAUGGAAAAUGAGCUAGCAAAUCUGUUGCUUCAUGUAAAGUAGAAGCUGACAUUGUCCAUGUUUCGAUUAAUUUCUUGGAAGAUAUAUGGAAGUUUCAAUCUUCAUACACAGAGCUAAAAAGAAGCAGAUCAGUGAUGAGCUGGAGAAAGUGCAUUUGUGGACAACCUGAAGCAAUUGAAUGAGAGGUCAGAAGUGGUGCAAAGUUCAGAUGCAUGAUAAGAUAUUUAAAAAGUCAAAUCCCAAGAAACUUCUUGAAGAGGAAUACUUAGCAACUGAAACAAAAGACUUAGAUUUAAGAAGAACAUCUCGACGUGGGAUUGUUUAGCAUGGUCUAUAAUAAAGGUAACAGGUAGAUGAGUCAUGGAUGCUUGGAGAGUCCCAGCUGCCAGUCCCACGACACACUCGAGGAUAGUUUCUUUUUCUGGUUUUGGUUGCUAACGCUAUUUAUGUUUUGGUUUUGUGAACUUGGUAUUGUAUGCUUCGAUAGGGAUUUUGGAGUCCCGUCUGGUGGUUGCAGGUAAUUUUUGUUAGUGUCAUUGUUAGUUUUACGUUCGUAUCAUUUUAUGUCUUCCGCUGCUA